UCAAAAGCGGAAGAGGAUGGAGAAAAUUGGGAAAUUGGUGAUACUUUCUCUCUUGUGUUUUAAAAGAACAGCGAUUGCUUUUCGUAAGGCUAUUGUUGUCGGGAGCAUUCUGUAAAAGUCAGGACUGAUUGAAAAUGAGUUGGGUGGAUUAAAACUGCUUAUAAUUUGGAAGAUCUUGCCGGGAAGGGACGAUUAAAAAACUGAAAAACAGAUCUUGCUACAGUGGGUAACUUCUAAACAAGAUACUUAAGAAGGAAAAAAACAUUUACCUACUUGAAGCUCCAACUUCUUGAUCAAAGAGAAGGGCAGGGAAGACCAAUUGUUUCUUUUACAGAAGUGAGUCAAUUAUAUUCUGGAUAGAAUUGUCAAGCUAUUUUUUUGUGGGAGAAAGACUAUCAACCAUUGUUCUGUUAAUGCUUUCUGGUUAUCUACCUAUAUACUGCUAAAACACUUGUUCCCAUAACCUUUAACUGGACAACAUGCUGCAUUUUGUCAACAGUAUUCAACCAAGGUACCUCAAAUGGGCUAACUUAUAAAAAGCGUCCAAAAUUCAGGACCUAUCAUUUCCAAAAGAAAGAAAUUGUGCCUGUUUCAGUGCUGCUUGGGCUGCUGCUAAUUUAUUUUAUAUUCACUUUUAAGAAUACAAAUUCUUACAAUGAAGCCAUAAACAAUUUAAGUUCCUUGUUUUAUCUACUACUCAUUUUACUUAUUGUUAUGGUCAAAAAUUACUUACCUCAAAAAAGAGAAGCAAUGCAUAAUUUAGGACAAAGUGUAACAUAUAGAGAGACCAUAAGUGUAUUUUGCAAAUUAUCUGAAGGAACAGAUAAUUUCUGAUGACUUACACCUAAAUGACCUGCCUUAAUCUACCUAAAGACAAAAAAGCAAGUAAUAAAUCAAAUUGCCUCCCAAUGAUCAGUAUAAAAUUUUAAAAAUCAUCAAAAUAAUUUUAUUGGUAGUAUGGUUUAUUGGGGGGCAUAGUCCAACUCAGCAUUCCAAAAGGAAGCAUCUUUGUCAGUUCCAAUUGGCCUUGAGAUAAUCAGAAGAAAAUCACAAAAUAGGCUUCACUGAAUUAUCAUGACAUCAAAUAUACAGUAACUGUUGCCAUAACUGCUCUGUAUUUCAAAUUAU